rnacentral:rRNA from 1 species
UACGUAGGGGCCUAGCGUUGUCCGGAAUCAUUGGGCGUAAAGAGCUCGUAGGCGGUUCGGCAAGUCACGUGUGGAAAUCUCCACGCUUAACGUGGAGGCGCCACGUGAAACUGCCGUGACUCGAGUCCGGUAGGGGAGUGUGGAAUUCCCGGUGUAGCGGUGAAAUGCGCAGAUAUCGGGAGGAACACCAGUAGCGAAGGCGGCACUCUGGGCCGGUACUGGACGCUGAGGAGCGAAAGCGUGGGGAGCGAACGAGGA